rfam:Ailuropoda melanoleuca scaffold2881_13, whole genome shotgun sequence.
GCCUGGGUGGCACAGUGGUUGAGCGUCUGCCUUCGGCUCAGGGCAUGAUCCCAGCGUUGUGGGAUCGAGCCCCACAUCAGGCU